rnacentral:rRNA from 1 species
AUUUUGAAUCGUGCCGGGUGCACUGCUCUGGUUAAGUCCGUGCUCUCCUCCAUGCCAAUCUUCUUGCUGACGGCUUUAAAGGCUGACAAAGGUAUCCUCAAGGCCUUUGCGAAGAUCAGUCGCGGCAUGCUCUGGGCCUGUAAGGAGGCGGUUAGUGGAGGGAAAUGCAAAGUCAACUGGCAAAAGGUCUGCCGCCCCAAGGAGCUCGGUGGUUUGGGGGUUUUGGACCUGGAGAGGUUCUCCCAAGCCCUGAGGCUUCGCUGGUUAUGGUAUGAGUGGAAGGCUCCUGAGAAGCCAUGGGUGGGCUCUGAAACCCCCAACGACGCCUCAGACCUUGACCUCUUCAAUGCGGCUACUCGUGUCACCAUCGGAAACGGCGCCAAGGCCUCCUUCUGGUCGUCUUCAUGGCUCCAUGGCGCCCCGCCAAAAGACCUGGCUCCCCUAAUUUUC